GAGACAGAGAAGUCCUGUGAAUGAAUCUGCUGCCUGAUUGGCUGAUUGCUUGAUUGGCUGGGUGAGGCGGUUUAGCAGAAAGCUGUGUGGUGAAGCAGAGGUCAGUGGCACAGAUGAAGUGCUCAGAGACUGAAACCAGCUAGGAAGAAAAUACAGUGUUGGUCUCCUGCAGGAUGGAACAGAAAUGUUAGAGUCGCUGACAAAAGCACGUAAGGCCCAAGUUAAACAGCCAGAAGGACUGGUCCAGAUGGAAUCAGGUAAAGAUGCAGACCACUUAUUAGACUACUUUUUAGUAUUUGGUUGAUCUAAAACAGGAACGGGAGGACAUCAUGAGUUUAAUGUUCCUGCAUGUAGGCCGUACUCAUGUUGCGGUGCGUGGGGGUGGCCACACCUGUCGUGUUAGUAGCAGCAUGUUGCAAACAGCAUGCUCUACAUGUCGGCAGUUACACUAUAUGGCAACCCGAGGUCACAGGCACAUUCUGACCCCUUUCCCAGUACUGGUAAGGCGCUCUGAUCUAUGAGCUGUACUUCUUGUCUGACAGUGGUGAUUGCCCAGGGCUAUAUUAGAAAAGCGGGACGUAGAGGAAAAUAUAAUUUCCCUGUCAGAUUCACUUCAAACAAGUUUCCUAUUACUUCAAUGCAUGUUCAGGCAAAUGGUUAGAUGCCCCACCACUGCUUGCUGCUGAGAGGAGGAAGGCUAUUUCACAUGCUGUGAGUGACACUACACUGCAUUUUAUCCUGCUUGUAGAAUUUAGAUGGUUUCCUGCAUUUGAUUGGCUAUGGGGUGAAUUUAGACCUGCUUAGACCUUUUUAAAAAUGUAUUUGGGCAAACUGGACUGAUACCUUCUUGACCAAUAUCUUUUCCAUCAGAAUUAAAGGCGAGAAGCAGAUCACUGAGACCAAGUAAAUUUCACUUUAAUGGUGGCAGACAUCAUCACUCUGAUUAAAGGCCUCAUCCCUAAACCAAAGCUGGAUUUCCCCAGGGACAUUACCAGAAUCCCUGGAGCCACUUGGGGAUCUGGUGUGUACCAAACUGUGGCUAUUUUUUGCCGGCCUUAAUAGACAAUCAGAGCGAGAGGGCAAAGGACAGAGCAACUCGCCGAGUCCCGGUUUACAGUGAUCCGCGAACAGCGCUCAGGGAGAAGAACAUUUCCAGACAUGAUCCUUCUCUUUGAUUCCCCACUCUGCUUUUUAUCCCUCUUUUUCUUCCUGUUUUCGUCAUCUUCGUCAUCGUCAUCAUCAUCAUCAUUUUCAUCAUCAUCAUCGUCCUCAUCUGGACUAUCGCUUCCAGUCUUCUUAUUCUAACUUCAUAAUUUUCCUCCCUGUUAUCCUCUUCCCUGUUGGUGUGGAUGAUGUUUUGGCUUGGCUGAACUCGAUGAACUGAAGCACUAAGCUGCUUUCCAGCUCACCAAACACAGUUAGUGUUUGCACUGCAGCUCAGCAGCAGACGGGGCCUCAAAUGAAAUGAGGACUGAUGGCCAAAUGUUCUUAGUUUCAUUUUGUUUUCAUGGAGACUUCUUGCAGAAGAAAGCUUAUCUAAGCUGGUUUAGGCCUGUGUUGACUAAAUAUCUGCUUUUAAGCUUAUUGGGAUAUUACGCUGACUUUCCUUAUUAUGUUGGAAAAUGUUUAAUUUUCUUAGUCAAAUGUAAAGUAAUGUCUGACAUUACUCAGUAAGAGCCGGGAAGCCAAACAGCUAAAAAAACGAAUAAAAAAAGGGCGAUUUUGUGUUUUUCAGUAUAUUUAACAGAACUAUUCAACCAUCUUCACUCCACUCCCCAGCUGCCAUCCACCAGCUCACUGGAACCCUUUACUUCACAGAUCUUUGCUUUUGUUUUCUUUGUUUCCCUCCUGGUUUAUUUCCAGAGUUUCCCCUCAGUCACAGUGCCUCGUUAGAAUAUUUAGACCUGGGAUUUUCUGUGAGUGACCGACACACAGCAGUGGAAAACUAUGAAGGAAAAUGAUGACUGACCUAAAGAGUUUUUCACAAACAAAAAGCUGAAAGGUGUUAAGCCAUUUGCAUUCAGCUCAGUGUUGUGGAACCACCUUUCUCUGCAGUUACCGUUUGGAGUCUGUCUCCACCAGCUUUUACGUCUACAGACAUUUUUGCUCUUUCUUCUUUGCAAAAUAGUUCAUGCUCAGCGGGACUGGAAGGAGAGCAACAGUGAACAUUAACGAUCAAGGGAUUAUCAACUAAAUUCAUGCUUUGACUAGGCCGUACUAACAUAUGAAGAUGGUUGGGUGUAACCCAUUGUUUAGGGUUGUUUUCCUGCUGGAAGGUGACCCUCCACCCCAGUCUCAGGUUUCUGCAGCCUCUAACAGGUUUCCUUUCAGGACUGUCCUGUAUGUAGCUCCAACCAUGUCACAGGAAAAGGGGCUGAAUACAUUAGAAGGUCACACUUUUCGGUGCAACACAUUUUCUGUGCCGUUUUGUCACAUACUGUCUUAAAAAGUUUAUAUAAGGUUUGAGGCUUUAUUGUGACAAAAAUUUUCAGGUUUUUCCACAUGUAACCCGGAUAGUAAUAAUAUAAGAGAUGACAAGGAUAAGUUUGUUUAUUAUAUCCUUUUAUUUCCAUUAAAAUUUCAAAGGUCAUACAAAGUUAUCAAAUAAUAUGUUUGCAUUGUUUAAUAUAAGUUCUGUAUUUUGUGGUGAAUUGCCAGUGAAAAUUGUAUUUUCCUACAGAAGUACGGUCAGUGAAGGUAGCACAGGGGAGGAGAAAAGAACCAGAGGAGAGGGCGGAGAGAGACAGGUGAGAGCAGAGGGUGGAGGAGGAAGCAAUUGAGGAAAUAGCCAAGGAGAAGCAGUUAGUGGAGAUAAAAAAGUGAGUAAGCUCAGAACUUGUCGACAGGAGAAGUUUUAAUAAACAGCAUGCAAGGUAGCAGGACCCUGUAGAGUUUCGACAAGAAGCUGUGGUGGGGUGUGCCUGUUUUUUCUUGGUUGCUGUACUUACCUGAGAGUAAGAGCAAAGCUAACCUAGCUGUUCGCUAACUUGGACUGCUGUAAGCUGGUGUUUCGCUGCUAAAGUGGAACGAAAAGGGCUGCAGAGGACUGUUACCGGCUUGGAUAACACAAGACGGACUCCAGAUAGACACUCUGAGUGCCCACUUCGCUCAGAGUACCUCUGGCACCGUGGGAACUGAGGACCAGGAGAUGUGGAGCCCGUAGAGAGCACCUGGAAUCCCAACUGCAUCAUUCCUGAGCUGCUGUUUCAUCUGAUCGCUUUGGAGGUCCAUUUGGGCACAGGGCACAGGUACUGAGUUGCUUUAAUAUUUUUGCUCUUUGAGUGAAGAGGAUUGGGACUGUGGAGUUGGUGGGACUCUUCCAUUUUUUUGAGUAGCUGCUCAGGCCUGCAACGUAGGAGUAGUUUCUGCCGGCAUUAGGUUUAGGUAUACCAUACUGGUUAUAUGAUUGGUGUUUACACUGUAUGUGCAUUCAUUGAUUCAUGAUACGGGUGACAAUAUUCUGUUUUUCUGUUUUGUUUGCAUUCCAAAAACCUGCCAUCUUUUUAUAUUAUUAAUUGUGUCUAAUUAAAGGAGGGUUACUAUGGUCUAUUUACAUGGUGUGUAGUGUAAUUUACUUUAGUAGUGUUCAAUGCUGCUUGAUCCAAAAGCUUUAGAGAUAUUUAAACUAAAUAGUAAGAGGGUAUAGGGAGAUUUAAGAACCCAAACCUCACUUAUCUAUUAUAUACCUUAAGUGAGGGCUACA